UCUUGGAUCGCCAAGAAAUAAGUGAAUCGCCAAGAAAAAUGCAAUAACCAGUGAUAGAUUUACGAUCGGUGACAUUGGAAGCCCAAUCAGCAUCAGAAUAGGCACGCAACUUGAGAGUAGAAGAAGAUGAAAUGAACUAAGAACGCGAUAA